rnacentral:rRNA from 1 species
UGGGGAAUUUUACGCAAUGGGGGAAACCCUGACGUAGCGACACCGCGUGAGCGAAGAAGCCCUUUGGGGUGUAAAGCUCUGUCGGCAGGGACGAAAAAAAUGACGGUACCUGCAAAGGAAGCAUCGGCUAACUACGUGCCAGCAGCCGCGGUAAGACGUAGGAUGCGAGCGUUGUCCGGAUUUAUUGGGCGUAAAGAGUUCGUAGGCGGUUCGUUAAGUCUGAUGUUAAAGAUCGGGGCUCAACCUCGAGAGUGCAUUGGAUACUGGCGGACUUGAGUGCAGUAGAGGCGAGUGGAAUUCUCAGUGUAGCGGUGAAAUGCGUAGAUAUUGGGAAGAACACCGGUGGCGCAGGCGACUCGCUGGGCUGUAACUGACGCUGAGGAACGAAAGCUAGGGGAGC